AUACCUGUUGGAGGCCCGAACCGGGUAAUGUUGAAAAAUUAUCGGAUGAGCUGUGGAUAGGAGUGAAAGGCUAAUCAAGUCCGGAGAUAGCUGGUUCUCCUCGAAAGCUAUUUAGGUAGCGCCUCGUGUUUCACUCUUGGGGGUAGAGCACUGUUUCGGCUAGGGGUCAUCCUGACUUACCAAACCGAUGCAAACUCGAAUACCAAGAAGUGCAAUCACGGGAGACACACGGCGGGUGCUAACGUCCGUCGUGGAAAGGGAAACAACCCAGACCGCCAGCUAAGGUCCCAAAGUUAUAGCUAAGUGGGAAACGAAGUGGGAAGGCAUAGACAGCCAGGAGGUUGGCUUAGAAGCAGCCACCCUUUAAAGAAAGCGUAAUAGCUCACUGGUCUAGUCGGCCCGCGCGGAAGAUUUAACGGGGCUCAAGCUAUACACCGAAGCUGCGGAUGCAUGCUUGCAUGCAUGGUAGAGGAGCGUUCUGUAAGCCUGUGAAGGCGUGUUGUGAGACAUGCUGGAGGUAUCAGAAGUGCGAAUGCUGACAUGAGUAACGAUAAUGCGAGUGAAAAACUCGCACGCCGAAAACCUAAGGGUUCCUGCGCAACGCUAAUCGGCGCAGGGUGAGUCGGCCCCUAAGGCGAGACCGAAAGGUGUAGUCGAUGGGAAACUGGUUAAUAUUCCAGUACUUUGUAUUACUGCGAUGAGGGGACGGAGAAGGCUAAAUCUACCGGGCGAUGGUUGUCCCGGAGAAAGUAUGUAGGCAGAGAGCUUUGGUAAAUCCGGGCUCUUGUUAAUGCCGAGAUAUGAUGACAACCGGCCUAUGUGCCGGAAAGUGGUUGAUGCCACGCUUCCAGGAAAAGCCUCUAAGCUUCAGGUAAUACAGAACCGUACCGCAAACCGACACAGGUAGGUGGGGAGAGAAUCCUAAGGCGCUUGAGAAAACUCUGGUGAAGGAACUAGGCAAAUUGGUACCGUAACUUCGGGAGAAGGUACGCCUCUAUUGGUGAUGAAACUUGCUUUCUAAGCUGACAGAGGUCGAAGAUACCAGGUGGCUGCGACUGUUUACUAAAAACACAGCACUCUGCAAACACGUAAGUGGAAGUAUAGGGUGUGACGCCUGCCCGGUGCCGGAAGGUUAAUUGAUGGGGUCAGCUAAUUUAUUAGCGAAGCUCUUGAUCGAAGCCCCGGUGAACGGCGGCCGUAACUAUAACGGUCCUAAGGUAGCGAAAUUCCUUGUCGGGUAAGUUCCGACCUGCACGAAUGGCGUAACGAUGGCCAUACUGUCUCCAACUGAGACUCAGUGAAAUUGAAAUCGCUGUGAAGAUGCAGUGUACGCGCGGCUAGACGGAAAGACCCCGUGCACCUUUACUACAGCUUUACACUGAACUUUGAAUUCAAUUGUGUAGCAUAGCUGGGAGACUUUGAAACUGAUGCGCUAGCAACAGUGGAGUCAACCUUUGAAAUACCAGCCUAUUGCCUUUGGAGUUCUAACCCAGAACCGUUAUCCGGUUCGGAGACAGUGUAUGGUGGGUAGUUUGACUGGGGCGGUCUCCUCCUAAAGAGUAACGGAGGAACGCGAUGGUACCCUCAAUACGGUUGGAAAUCGUAUGAUGCGUGUAAAGGCAUAAGGGUGCUUGACUGCGAGACGUACAUGUCGAGCAGGUACGAAAGUAGGUCUUAGUGAUCCGGUGGUUCUGUAUGGAAGGGCCAUCGCUCAAUGGAUAAAAGGUACGCCGGGGAUAACAGGCUGAUACUGCCCAAGAGCUCAUAUCGACGGCAGUGUUUGGCACCUCGAUGUCGGCUCAUCACAUCCUGGGGGUGAAGCAGCUCCCAAGGGUAUGGCUGUUCGCCAUUUAAAGUGGUACGCGAGCUGGGUUUAGAACGUCGUGAGACAGUUCGGUCCCUAUCUACCGUGCGCGUUUGAUAUUUGAUGGAAGUUGCUCCUAGUACGAGAGGACCGGAGUGAACCUAUCCCUGGUGUUCCAGUUGUCUCACCAGAGGCAUUGCUGGGUAGCUAUAUAGGGUUGUGAUAACCGCUGAAAGCAUCUAAGCGGGAAGCCAUACCAAAGAUAAGAUAUCACUGGACCUUUAAGGUCCCUAAAGAUCCGUUCAAGACUAGGACGUUGAUAGGCUGGGUGUGGAAGCGUAGUAAUAUGUGAAGCUAACCAGUACUAAUUGAUCGUGAGGCUUGAUC
rnacentral:rRNA from 1 species